rnacentral:rRNA from 1 species
CACGGGGGGAGCAAGCGUUGCUCGGAAUCACUGGGCGUAAAGGGCGCGUAGGCGGGAAUGUAAGUCGGGCGUGAAAUCCCCAGGCUCAACCUGGGAACUGCACUCGAAACUGCGUUUCUUGAGUAUCGGAGAGGAAAGCGGAAUUCCUGGUGUAGAGGUGAAAUUCGUAGAUAUCAGGAGGAACACCAGUGGCGAAGGCGGCUUUCUGGACGGUAACUGACGCUGAGGCGCGAAAGCGUGGGGAGCAAACAGG